UACGAAGGGGGCUAGCGUUGUUCGGAUUUACUGGGCGUAAAGCGCACGUAGGCGGGUUGUUAAGUCAGGGGUGAAAUCCUGGAGCUCAACUCCAGAACUGCCUUUGAUACUGGCAACCUAGAGGCUGGAAGAGGUUAGUGGAAUUCCCAGUGUAGAGGUGAAAUUCGUAGAUAUUGGGAAGAACACCAGUGGCGAAGGCGGCUAACUGGUCCAGAUCUGACGCUGAGGUGCGAAAGCGUGGGAAGCAAACAGG
rnacentral:rRNA from 1 species